rnacentral:lncRNA from 1 species
AAAAAAAAUUCUCUGUGGCCUCUCUAGCUUACAGCAUGAAGUCCUUUCUCCUUAGCAGGGCAUUCAGAGUACUCUGUGGUCACCCUACAGUCUUGACUUUCUGUCUUUAUUUCCCUCUAUUUGCCUUUGUAGCCAAACCCACUGCCAUCCCGCAGCAGGCUCCCUCACCCUGGCUGCUGCUGGGCAUCACAUGGGCUGGCUUCGCUCUUGCCUCUACCUGUUUGCUCUCUGCAGGUCAGGUCUUGUAUGCCCUUCAAAGCUUUGCUCAAAUGUCGCUGCUUCCAUGAAGCCUUUCUUUUGUAUCACUUAAAAUAAUCCCUCUGUCUCUGAAUUUCUGGGGUACCCAUCCCUCACCCCACUGCUCUUUGAUUCCUAAUACAUUGUUGUUUUAUGUGCAGCCCUUCUCCUCCCCAUUGAUCCUGCUCAUGUUGGUGUUCCUGCUCUUGCCAUCACCUGUGCUUUGCAGGCAGAGGACCUUACCUAUCUCUGUGAGGUGCCUUUUACUCAUUGGUAGUCCCAGUGAUUGCCCUGGGCUUCCUGAGUUGGUCUUUCAGAUCUGCCUUGUAAGCGCCAGCCCUUUUCUAUUGCUACUUUUAUAUCUCAUUUGGUGUGUUUUUCUGAUGUCUACGUAGAUGACAGACACAUACUGCUAGGUAUAUGUGAUUGUCUCAAUGUUCUAUUUUAUUUCAGACUCUAAGUAGAGUCCCUAGAACAGCUGAGAGUGUAAACAGUAUAUCAUUAAAAUCUUUGCAGAUAUCCAAAUCCUACCUUACUAUAGCUUAAGGAAGGCUGUCAGAAUGCUGGGGGAAAGCUGAAGUAGUAAGAUGUGUCUCUGGCCACGUGAUGCUGUGGUGCUGAGAUGAUGUUGAUGAUGUGGUUUUAUGAUGUCCUAGCUGUCAGGCACACCAGAUACUCCAGGUAUGCUACUUGUGUGAGUCCUUUUCAUGAUUUUCUAGAGAAGGUCACUACUUCCAGUCAGUUUGAUUUGGGAAUAUUGGUAGAGUGGCCUCUUGAUUAUGUAUACAAACCACCCCAAUAUUUAAUGUCUCGUGUUUUUGAGAUGAGCAUUCUCGUGUGUUCCCUCGGCCAGUUUGUCUGUUCUUGUGGCUUCAACCUCCACCUGUAUCCAUAAACUUCUAGGCUUAUUCCUUAAGCCUUUGCUCUCUUCUUGAACUCUCCAUAUACAGAUCUGACUGUUGGCAUAGCCAGUGGGAUUCUUCAGGUUUGCCAUUUCCACAAGGGAACUCUAUUUUUGGCCCCCAAUGCAAGGAUUAUAUAAUUUUCCUUUUUGUUCCCAGUUCCUGUACAGUAUAUAGUACACAUGGAAAUGUCAAGGCCUACCAAUAGAGAGGGAUGGGUAAAUUGUGAUACCCACAUGAUGGAAUACUGAAACGACAAACCAGAUUUAUAUGUAUGUAAAAGGAUAAAAUCAAUGUUAUUUAUCUAGACAGAAUCAGGAAAGACAAGGACUGCUGAUGCUAUUCAAUACAUUCUGGAGCUGCUUGGGAAUUUCAUGGUUCUGAAGUGGGAGGUAGGUGAAAAUGGAGUGAAAGUCUUGGCUUCGAGUUGAAAGACCCAGGUUUCAGACUCAUAGGAAGAGUGGGAAGUUCACUUAAACUUGCUGAGUCUUGAUACUCCAGCCUCUUUGGUUUUCUAGAAAUGGAAGAAUAAUUGCCUUAUUUAUUUUUUAGAGGAUUUGUGAGGUCAAACGGGAUGUUUGUAAGUUUUUCAAACUAUAAUUCUGUUACUACCAUCAGAGCAAGCGUUGAAAUUCUUUGGCCAUAUAGAUUUGGUUCAAAAGUUCCCAGAAGGCAGGAACACUUUAGAAGCUUCCAGUAAGUAAAAGAGUUGCUGUGAGUGAUGAGUGUACUGGUGCUGAGUAUUUAAGCCCAACUGUAAAACCAUCUUUGUGCCAAAGACCCAGAAGAAGAGAUUUGAGAGAUUUGAAAAAUUGAAUAUAUGCUUUCUUCCUGAGAUAUUCUCUCUCUCUCUCUCUCUCUCUCUCUCUCUCUCUCUCUCUCUCUCUCUGAUUCUGUAUUUAGAUUCCUGUGAACACAUUUUUGUCUCCACCAAUCUAUUGUGAGAUGUAGAAGGUAAAAAGGCUCUAGGGAGCACAAUAAAAAUAGAUAAUGCAGAGCUUUUAAAAAACUGAGUAUAUCCCAGGAGAGAGCUGAGAGGACAAAUGUUCUGCAUCAAAAUAGACAAUAGAUUUAUCCUGGGCAAAGUGCUAUGAGAAACACCUUUCUCAUGUUACAGAUGGAAAAUUGAAGCUCAAAUUUUGACAGUAUGUGCUACUAAGUAACUAGUAGGUGCCAGGUAUUCUUCUAAAAACUUUUAUGGUAUCAUAGAAUUCUCCCAUCUACCUUUUGGAGGAGACUUUAUGAUAAACUAAGGAAUGGGUUAUUAUGUAACUCCCUCAGUUGCACAGGUACUUGUGGCAGACACCCCAGCUCUGGAGUUUUACUGUGAAACUGCUGUGAUACUUGUUCAGGGAACUGACCAAGUUAUAUUCUGUAAUUUGCUUUUAAUUGUAGCUCUUUCUUGAGGUGGAUUGGAGUGUAUAACAUGAGUGAGUUUGAAAUCCCUGACUGUCCUGGGUACCAGGGUAGUGAUUUCUACUUGCACGUGUUUCUCCCCGAGGUGUAUGUGGCCUUGGGGACCAACCUUGUAAUUAAGCUCAUACAUUUGUAGAAUGAUUGACCAGGUAUAGGGAAAUUCUUUGAAGCUGUGAAUUAAGGUAAAUUUAACUGUCUUUGAAUAAAGGUAGUAUUCUGUCUUGCCUUUGUCUGCUCAAGGCUCUAAUGUCCACAGGUCACAUGCAACUCAGGGAUGAGUACAUACAGCAUUUGGUCUUUGUCCCCAGUUCCUGACACAUAGCUGCCUGGGAAUCUGAAGGAGUAGAAAUGUCCUUUUGUGUGCUAAUUUGGUGACUAGGGGCCCCUAGAUAGCUUCAGGAUGGAAGCUAGAUGCCAAAAAGAUCAACGUAUGAUUAGGGGGUUGAAACUUUCAAUCCUACCCUUUGACCUCCAGGAAGAGGAAAGGACCUAGAGUUAAUUACCAUUCGUCAGUGAUUCAGUUAAUCAUGUUGAUGUCAUGAAACUUCUAUAAAAUCCUAAAAGAUGAAGUCUGAAGAAGUUAGUGAAUGCAUGGAGGUGUUGGAAGGGUGGCACCCCAAGAGAAGGCAUGGAGACUGUGUGCCUUCCUCAUGGCUUGUUCUACACACAUUUCCUAUUUGGCUGUGCCUGAGUUGUGUCCUUUAUGAUAAAUGAGUAAGUAAAGCACUUUUUAAAGUUCUAUGAGAUAUUCUAGCAAAAUAUUAUACAUGAAGGGUGUUGUAGUCAGGGUCUGCAAGGGAAUAGAUUUAAUACAGGAUACAUAAUUUGUAGGAUUAUUUUAUAAUAUUCACCCAGAAAGUCAAACGCAGAGGAGUGCAAGAGAUCUAACUGCACACUAGAGUCCCAAAGAAUCCAGGUAAGGGGCUGGAUCCCACAGGAAUGUCCCACACAAGUCCAACUAAAGACUUAAAGCCCAAGGCAAUGUCCUCCACCAGUUCAGCCAGUGGCCUAGAGCCCACGGCAAUGUCUCAUACUUGUCCAUAUUGAGGAUCUGCACCAGGAAGGCCCAAUGACCAGUGGUGGAAGCCAGAAAACCUGUGCUGGCAUAGGGAGGGAUUUGUGCCACCAGGCUGAGGGAUCCACAUUGGAGCCAGGAAGUGAUGCUCAUGCUGAAGAUCAGAGCUCCCCUGAUGAGAACAGCAGCCUUUCCCAGUGACAGCAAGGCCCUGAGCUCCGAUGAUGAGAACAGCCAAGUUCUAAUCAGGAAAACCAACUACAGCAAGCGUCUCCUAGAAAAUCAACAGCCCACGGUCUUCCCCUCCAGGUCUCUCUUGAUGCUGUUGGCAACAAUCCUCAGGGGGGUCUUCCAUGCCCAUACCACGUUGAUUCAGUUCAAGCUGGUUGUUCCAAGUUGACCAUUAGUUAAUCCACAAGGAGGUCAUGGGAACCUUGAUUUAUAAUUGGUUGGUCAAAAAUACAGGUGGAAACCUAGGACCUGCACCUGGCAACUCAUGUGGGCCAAUUUUGUGGGACAGCCCUCACCUGUGAAAUCUGUAUAACUGACAAGUAAUUAGUGUCAGAUUCACAGUGAUUGUAGGGCACCCAGUUGAUGUCUGGAGAGUUGGUUAGGUGAGGCAAAACCCCACACACAUUAGGUGACUGGAGUGCUGUGAAUAAAAACAGUUCAUUGCCUAAAAUGAGUUCCUUCUUCCUUAAAUUUGUAAGUCUUUUCUGUUGUAUUGAUAACUUUGAAUUUUUAUUCAGAAUAAAAUGAACCUCAGUGACUAAUGGUCUCAUUUCUUAAAAGGGACAAAUAUUGGAAAGAAGUAUUCAUGAGUAUCCUACUUACUUUUCUCUUCGCUGAGACAAAAUACCCAACACUUUCAGUGUAAUGGAGGAGAGGUUUAUUUUGGCUCAUGUUUCAGUCUAUGGUCAGCUAGUUUCAAAGAAGCAGCAGCAUGGCAAAAGGGCAUGCACGACAGAGGAAACAGCUGCUUGCCUCAUGGAAGCGGAGUGUGAAGUGAGGAGCUAGGAAGGGAGAAUGCACCCCCAUGACCUGGCUCUUCCAACUAGACCCUACCUUAUAACAGCAGGUCAGCUCCAUAAUCCAAUCACCUACCAAAAGCCUUGCUUUUGAGCUCCUGAGGCUUUGGGAGGACAUCUAGGUAUAAACCAUAACAAUUAGAAAAAUUCUGAUCCUAGUCCUCCAGUUAACAUUAGGCCAAACUUUGCCUUGAGAGAUGGAAAGGAUUGGGGCUCACAGUAACAUUCUAUGUAAUACUACCAUGUUUUAUCUCCCAUGCUUUUGCUUUAGGCAGAGGAAAUAUGAGGCUCUGGAUCUGAGUUGAAGUUUUAAACAAUGAAUUGGUUUGAAUAUGCAUAGGUAGCCCCCAAUAAUAUGGAUAGAUUGCUACAAAUUUUCUCUGAUCAUGUGUCCAGCAUGCUAAGAAGCAUUUUUCUCACUAAAAAUAAUCUUUGUAUAGGUAGCUGUGUUUCCAUGCUGGUAAUACACUUGACUUUACAUUUACAAUGUGAGACCUAGGCCAAGGUCCGGAAAUCCAUUAACCACACUUUAAGGACCACUGUGAUAUCUGGCAACUUGUCUACCCCCUGUUGUAUUUCACCCUCUUUCCCAUCUCCCUUCAGCCCUUGGUACCUUUAUGAGCACUGAGACCCAUUACCCUUUUGGUUGCCUUAAUCCACUAUAAAAAGACGCUUCUGGAAUUUGAGGUGCCAGUCCUUACUGUUUUUUUCUGUGAAUGGCACUGACUUGUUAUGUGGGUGUACACAUACCAGGUUCUUCUUAGAGGUGUGUUUGCCUUUUUAAAGAAAAGGAUAUGGUUAAGCCAAAUGCAUCACUUUUAUGAUAAAAUUUCAAGUUCUAUAACCAAGCAUUUGAGAAAUGUGAAGAAUUCAGAUUUUAAAAUGCCCCCGAGCUAGCCUCAAACUCUUCUCCCC